rnacentral:rRNA from 1 species
UCAAGCUAUAAAGAGCACAAGGGGAAUGCCUUGGCACUAGGAGCCGAAGAAGGACGUGACUAACUGCGAAAAGCUACGGGGAGUUGUAAGUAAACAUUGAUCCGUAGAUUUCCGAAUGGAGCAAUCCGGCUGUGGUCAUGCACAGUCAUCAUAUACUGAAUACAUAGGUAUAUGAGGGGAACCGCCUGAACUGAAACAUCUAAGUAGGGCGAGGAAGAGAAAUCAACCGAGAUUCCGCUAGUAGUGGCGAGCGAACGCGGAAGAGGCCAAACCAGAGGUAGAAAUACCUUUGGGGUUCGGACAACAUACGAUAUUGAUAAUUUCUAGCUGAAUAGUGUGGGAAAGCUAACCGAAGAAGGUGAGAGUCCUGUAAGCGAAAGGAAGAGUCAGUCAGUUGUAUCCAGAGUACCGCCGGACACGUGAAACCCGGUGGGAAUACGGGGGGACCAUCCUCCAAGCCUAAAUACUACCUAGUGACCGAUAGAGAAGAAGUACUGUGAAGGAAAGGUGAAAAGCACCCCGGGAGGGGAGUGAAAGAGAACCUGAAACCUUGUGUUUACAAGCACCGAAAGUCCAUCAAAGGACGAUCGGGUACCUUUUGUAGAAUGGUCCGGCGAGUGUAUGUAUCUAGCAAGGUUAAGCACUUAAGGUGUGAAGCCAAAGCGAAAGCAAGUCUGAAUAGGGCGACAAGUUAGAUGUAUACGACCCGAAACCGGGUGACCUACCCAUGGCCAGGCUGAAGUGAAGGUAAAACUUCAUGGAGGGCCGAACCGACUCCCGUUGAAAUGGUAGCGGAUGAGUUGUGGGUAGCGGAGAAAUUCCAAUCGAACCCGGAGAUAGCUGGUUCUCUCCGAAAUAGCUUUAGGGCUAGCCUUGAAAUAGAUUACUGGAGGUAAAGCACUGAAUUGGCUAGGGGCCGAAAGGUUACUGAACCUUAUCAAACUCAGAAUGCCAGAUAAUCGUUUUUCAGGAGUCAGACGGUGGGAGAUAAGUUUCAUCGUCAAAAGGGAAACAGCCCAGACCCACAGCUAAGGUCCCAAAUUAUAGUUAAGUGGAGAAGGAUGUGGGAUUGCAUAGACAACCAGGAUGUUGGCUUAGAAGCAGCCACUCAUUAAAAGAGUGCGUAAUAGCUCACUGGUCGAGUGAUCCCGCGCCGAAAAUUUAACGGGGCUAAACUAUAAACCGAAGCUUGGGAUACCGUAAGGUAUGGUAGGAGAGCGUCAUGUAAGGGGUGAAGUCAUAGCGAAAGCGGUGGUGGACUUUACAUGAGUGAGAAUGCCGGAAUGAGUAGCGAGAAUUAAGUGAGAAUCUUAAUGGCCGAAAGUCUAAGGUUUUUGGAGGAAGGUUCGUCCGCUCCAAGUAAGUCGGGAGCUAAGGCGAGGCCGAAAGGCGUAGUCGAUGCACAUACGGUUGAUAUUCCGUAACCACUGACAACUUAAACAAAAUGACACUUUAGAAGGGCUUGACCCGGGUGCUGGUAAUCCCGGGCGUAAGGGACCGAAAUUUAGUAGGGAAGCAAGCUUGGAUGGAGGCGAGAAAAGUUUUGUGUAUGUAAUGUUGGUGCCCGUACCGCAAACCGACACAGGUGGACAGGAAGAGAAUUCUAAGGCCAGCGGGAGAAGGGUAGUUAAGGAACUCGGCAAAUUGACUCCGUAACUUCGGGAAAAGGAGUGCUCUCGAGAGAGAGCCGCAGUGAAUAGGCCCAGGCGACUGUUUAGCAAAAACACAGGUCUCUGCCAAAUCGAAAGAUGAAGUAUAGGGGCUGACACCUGCCCGGUGCUGGAAGGUUAAGAGGAGGAGUGAGAGCUCCGAAUUGAAGCCCCAGUAAACGGCGGCCGUAACUAUAACGGUCCUAAGGUAGCGAAAUUCCUUGUCGGGUAAGUUCCG